ACUCUCUCACAAUUACACCUGGAGGGUUUUCAAUACUCUACCAGUCUCAGCUAUGGGAGGGAGAGUCAAACAGAGACAUACCCAUUCCAUUCCUGGCUUGAGCAGUGGCUAGUGAGUGGAAGGCAAUCUGCUAGAAGU